AGGUCUGGCCUGCCCAGUGACAAGUUAAACGGCCGCGGUAUUUUGACCGUGCGAAGGUAGCGCAAUCACUUGUCUUUUAAAUGAAGACCCGUAUGAAUGGCGGAACGAGGGCUUAACUGUCUCCCUUCUCUAGUCAAUGAAAUUGAUCUCUCCGUGCAGAAGCGGACAUACAAAUACAAGACGAGAAGACCCUUUGGAGCUUAAGAUACAAGAUCAACUACGUCAAGAGCCCCAAAAAUAUAAGCCAAACUAAGUAACAUCUGAUCUACAUCUUCGGUUGGGGCGACCACGGGAGAAAAUAAAGCUCCCAUGCGGACUGGGGCUAUCAACCCCAAAACCUAGAAAGACAUUUCUAAGUCACAGAAUAUCUGACCACAAAGAUCCGGCCUACCAGCCGAUCAACGGACCAAGUUACCCUAGGGAUAACAGCGCAAUCCCCUUUCAGAGUCCAUAUCGACAAGGGGGUUUACGACCUCGAUGUUGGAUCAGGACAUCCUAAUGGUGCAGCCGCUAUUAAGGGUUCGUUUGUUCAACGAUUAAAGUCCUACGUGAUCU
rnacentral:rRNA from 1 species